GAUGAACGCUGGCGGCGUGCCUAACACAUGCAAGUCGAACGAAGCACCUUACCUGAUUCUUCGGAUGAAAGUUUGGUGACUGAGUGGCGGACGGGUGAGUAACGCGUGGGUAACCUGCCCUGUACAGGGGGAUAACAGCUGGAAACGGCUGCUAAUACCGCAUAAGCGCACGAGGAGACAUCUCCUUGUGUGAAAAACUCCGGUGGUACAGGAUGGGCCCGCGUCUGAUUAGCUGGUUGGCAGGGUAACGGCCUACCAAGGCAACGAUCAGUAGCCGGUCUGAGAGGAUGAACGGCGACAUUGGAACUGAGACACGGUCCAAACUCCUACGGGAGGCAGCAGUGGGGAAUAUUGCACAAUGGGGGAAACCCUGAUGCAGCAACGCCGCGUGAGUGAAGAAGUAUUUCGGUAUGUAAAGCUCUAUCAGCAGGGAAGAUAAUGACGGUACCUGACUAAGAAGCUCCGGCUAAAUACGUG
rnacentral:rRNA from 1 species